rnacentral:rRNA from 1 species
GAUGAACGCUGGCGGCGUGCCUAAUACAUGCAAGUCGAGCGAACAGACGAGGAGCUUGCUCCUCUGACGUUAGCGGCGGACGGGUGAGUAACACGUGGAUAACCUACCUAUAAGACUGGGAUAACUUCGGGAAACCGGAGCUAAUACCGGAUAAUAUAUUGAACCGCAUGGUUCAAUAGUGAAAGACGGUUUUGCUGUCACUUAUAGAUGGAUCCGCGCCGCAUUAGCUAGUUGGUAAGGUAACGGCUUACCAAGGCAACGAUGCGUAGCCGACCUGAGAGGGUGAUCGGCCACACUGGAACUGAGACACGGUCCAGACUCCUACGGGAGGCAGCAGUAGGGAAUCUUCCGCAAUGGGCGAAAGCCUGACGGAGCAACGCCGCGUGAGUGAUGAAGGUCUUCAGAUCGUAAAACUCUGUUAUUAGGGAAGAACAAAUGUGUAAGUAACUAGGCACGUCUUGACGGUACCUAAUCAGAAAGCCACGGCUAACUACGUG